CUGGUUCUCCCCGAAAGCUAUUUAGGUAGCGCCUCGUGAAUUCAUCUCCGGGGGUAGAGCACUGUUUCGGCAAGGGGGUCAUCCCGACUUACCAACCCGAUGCAAACUGCGAAUACCGGAGAAUGUUAUCACGGGAGACACACGGCGGGUGCUAACGUCCGUCGUGAAGAGGGAAACAACCCAGACCGCCAGCUAAGGUCCCAAAGUCAUGGUUAAGUGGGAAACGAUGUGGGAAGGCCCAGACAGCCAGGAUGUUGGCUUAGAAGCAGCCAUCAUUUAAAGAAAGCGUAAUAGCUCACUGGUCGAGUCGGCCUGCGCGGAAGAUGUAACGGGGCUAAACCAUGCACCGAAGCUGCGGCAGCGACGCUGAUGCGUUGUUGGGUAGGGGAGCGUUCUGUAAGCCUGCGAAGGUGUGCUGUGAGGCAUGCUGGAGGUAUCAGAAGUGCGAAUGCUGACAUAAGUAACGAUAAAGCGGGUGAAAAGCCCGCUCGCCGGAAGACCAAGGGUUCCUGUCCAACGUUAAUCGGGGCAGGGUGAGUCGACCCCUAAGGCGAGGCCGAAAGGCGUAGUCGAUGGGAAACAGGUUAAUAUUCCUGUACUUGGUGUUACUGCGAAGGGGGGACGGAGAAGGCUAUGUUGGCCGGGCGACGGUUGUCCCGGUUUAAGCGUGUAGGCUGGUUUUCCAGGCAAAUCCGGAAAAUCAAGGCUGAGGCGUGAUGACGAGGCACUACGGUGCUGAAGCAACAAAUGCCCUGCUUCCAGGAAAAGCCUCUAAGCAUCAGGUAACAUCAAAUCGUACCCCAAACCGACACAGGUGGUCAGGUAGAGAAUACCAAGGCGCUUGAGAGAACUCGGGUGAAGGAACUAGGCAAAAUGGUGCCGUAACUUCGGGAGAAGGCACGCUGAUAUGUAGGUGAAGUCCCUUGCGGAUGGAGCUGAAAUCAGUCGAAGAUACCAGCUGGCUGCAACUGUUUAUUAAAAACACAGCACUGUGCAAACACGAAAGUGGACGUAUACGGUGUGACGCCUGCCCGGUGCCGGAAGGUUAAUUGAUGGGGUCAGCGCAAGCGAAGCUCUUGAUCGAAGCCCCGGUAAACGGCGGCCGUAACUAUAACGGUCCUAAGGUAGCGAAAUUCCUUGUCGGGUAAGUUCCGACCUGCACGAAUGGCGUAAUGAUGGCCAGGCUGUCUCCACCCGAGACUCAGUGAAAUUGAACUCGCUGUGAAGAUGCAGUGUACCCGCGGCAAGACGGAAAGACCCCGUGAACCUUUACUAUAGCUUGACACUGAACAUUGAGCCUUGAUGUGUAGGAUAGGUGGGAGGCUUUGAAGUGUGGACGCCAGUCUGCAUGGAGCCGACCUUGAAAUACCACCCUUUAAUGUUUGAUGUUCUAACGUUGACCCGUAAUCCGGGUUGCGGACAGUGUCUGGUGGGUAGUUUGACUGGGGCGGUCUCCUCCUAAAGAGUAACGGAGGAGCACGAAGGUUGGCUAAUCCUGGUCGGACAUCAGGAGGUUAGUGCAAUGGCAUAAGCCAGCUUGACUGCGAGCGUGACGGCGCGAGCAGGUGCGAAAGCAGGUCAUAGUGAUCCGGUGGUUCUGAAUGGAAGGGCCAUCGCUCAACGGAUAAAAGGUACUCCGGGGAUAACAGGCUGAUACCGCCCAAGAGUUCAUAUCGACGGCGGUGUUUGGCACCUCGAUGUCGGCUCAUCACAUCCUGGGGCUGAAGUAGGUCCCAAGGGUAUGGCUGUUCGCCAUUUAAAGUGGUACGCGAGCUGGGUUUAGAACGUCGUGAGACAGUUCGGUCCCUAUCUGCCGUGGGCGCUGGAGAACUGAGGGGGGCUGCUCCUAGUACGAGAGGACCGGAGUGGACGCAUCACUGGUGUUCGGGUUGUCAUGCCAAUGGCACUGCCCGGUAGCUAAAUGCGGAAGAGAUAAGUGCUGAAAGCAUCUAAGCACGAAACUUGCCCCGAGAUGAGUUCUCCCUGACCCCUUAAGGGUCCUGAAGGAACGUUGAAGACGACGACGUUGAUAGGCCGGGUGUGUAAGCGCAGCGAUGCGUUGAGCUAACCGGUACUAAUGAACCGUGAGGCUUAACCUU
rnacentral:rRNA from 1 species